ensembl:snoRNA
CAUGUGAGUGAUGUAAACACGUCCUUAGGUUGGUCUUUUGGCCGUUUUGGUCAAAGCUUUUGGCCUUCCAAUGUUAGGAUCUGGUCAUAGUUACACUGACACAUG